UACGAAGGGGGCUAGCGUUGCUCGGAAUCACUGGGCGUAAAGCGCACGUAGGCGGCUUUUUAAGUCAGAGGUGAAAUCCUGGAGCUCAACUCCAGAACUGCCUUUGAUACUGAGGAUCUUGAGUUCGGGAGAGGUGAGUGGAACUGCGAGUGUAGAGGUGAAAUUCGUAGAUAUUCGCAAGAACACCAGUGGCGAAGGCGGCUCCCUGGACCGAUACUGACGCUGAGGCGCGAAAGCGUGGGGAGCGAACAGG
rnacentral:rRNA from 1 species